AACUCAUUGGUGGACCCUGGGACCCAGACCUUGAGCUGUGUAAAGGGCCUUAAAAAAAAUGGAGCUACUUCCCGUUCUCCCAGAACAUUGAUUUUUGUGACCACAGUUACAAACCGCCUCCAGAGAGCACCAGACCAGUGGAGCCAGACUGCAGCUAGAGCCCAUCAUCAUCCUCAUCUGGUUGUAAGUAGGCAAUCUAGUAUAUUAUUCGUGGCACUAAUCUCUAAUGUACCUCACAUUAAAAACACUUAAUGUAGUGGUUCUGGUGUCUAUGGCCUGUCCCUGCAGGCCUUUUAAUGUAAAU